GGGGGGGGGGGGGGGGGGGGGGGGGGGGGGGGGGGGGGGGGGGGGGGGGGGGGGGGGGGGGGGGGGGGGGGGGGGGGGGGGGGGGGGGGGGGGUGCGCGCGCAGCUCGGCCCAGGCCCCGCCCCCGCGCCGCGCGCACCGGGCCCCGCGCGCCCCCUGCUGGAGCUCCCGGGCCGGGCGGGAGCGCUCUGGAAUUCCGUGUGCGCCGGGAUGCCCGACUGAGCAAGAAGCUGUAUCAGCAGUGAGCUGAGUAAGAAACUGCAGUUGUACCUACAACCUGCUCAGUCUUCAUCUGCCAUAACAUUUCACUGUGGCUGAACAGAAGGUCACAGGCCAACACUGGGCAUUAAUGAGCAGAGCAAAACUACUGCUUUGGAAGACAGAAAUACUAAAUUAAUAACGAAAUAUUUUUGCAGCACAGCUUACAUAAGCAGCAGAGAAUCAAAUUUUCUUGCCACCAAGAUAGGGAUAAAUCAAUUCUUCCUUCAGAUCUCCGUAUUUUUAAAUCUCCCUCAUGUGGAAACAAGGCUUUUCAUGACAGUAGAGAACUCAUUUGUUUAAAAGACUUCUUUGCAGUCUGGAUCUUGCAUUCAGUGGUGGACAUUCUCAUUUGUUUAAAAGACUUCUUUGCAGUCUGGAUCUUGCAUUCAGUGCAUUACCCACUUUGUCUUUUAAAGUUCUUGCAAAAAAAAGUCUUCAUCCCAUCACAGAAGAAUGUCACAUAUGGAGGGCAUCCAUAUCUAUUCAUGCUAGCACCACUGCUGUAAUUUAAAACAAACAAUCCAACCCCUUUUCCUGCAUUGUGGAAAGUGACAAUUGUCUUGAUAUUGAUACCUGCAUAGCAUUACUGAGUGCAGCAAGAAAUGCGGUUUAGGUACUACAGUGAAGUGACACUUGAGUAAUUUUCCUAUUUCAUGCAUGUUUGUAGAUUUGCAUUUUACAGGAAACACAUUCUGCACAGGGCUGAUAAUGAAAGUAGAAAUGAGACUGGGAUGACACACGCUCUCAGUCCAGAUUUCCCAGAGCACCAGACUGCCCUUGGCAAGCAAUUCCUCCUCACCAGAAAGUUCAUGUACAACCUGCUCCUUGGUUGGCUGUCCAGACAAGUAACACUUGGAGGGUUGCACUUUUCUACUUUUCUGCUUGUAAGACAUGGCAAAUCACCGAAGCAAAAAAUCCACCACCAACUCCACCACUCACAACUCAAGCCAAUAUAA
rnacentral:lncRNA from 1 species